AGGUUAGAAGUUUUAACACAUGGAUGAUGUCAGCCAGAAGGUGAAGUCGUCUCUUCCCUGCACUCUACAGGUACACAACACCUCGAAGUACAAAUUUGUAGUGCAACAGUGCAAUCUGCAACAGUAUUUUUUGCCUAACAUGUGAUCUACACACACAAAAAAGGUAAAUAAAUGUUACAAAAGUCCACACUUUGAAACAGAGCUUUCCCCAAUACGAUGUCAGGAUUAGACUAGCAAUAGCAAAACAGCAUCAGAAAUGUUGCACUUAAUCAAUAUAUACUCAAAGUCAAGAAACCUACCCCAGGUUAAAAGGCCCAGUUUAUUCAGUUUGUUAUGCAAAAUUUCCAUCUAAGUGGGAUAAGUCAAUAAAAAAGAGAAAAAGAUAAAGAAAUCCAAGUGUGGCACCAUCCUUGACUACUACUUCUACAGAAAAGUGGUCUCCUAUAUAAUUUAUAAAUUUUGGAUAACCUAAAUUUGGAAUCGAGCCUUAUAAAUCUGGAAGG
rnacentral:lncRNA from 1 species